ensembl:lncRNA
CCCGAGGCCCCUGAGCUGGCAUUUUCAUGGAAGAGGCUUCCAGGGACAGCCACCCUCCCCCUUCCUGCGUGUUCUCGGGCAAGCCAGAACCCUCCGCUCACAACAGGAAACCAAUAGCUCUGUGCUAUCAGAAGACAUUUCCUUCACGGCACAGAGCGUCUGAGUAAUGAUUUCGAGCCGGCUUCACCCAUUUCCGGUGGAAGGAGGCAAGUGGCCGGUCCCCGCCCCUGCACGGCCCUCUCCGAGCCCCGCCGCCCAGCAGCCUCCGGCUGGAAGACGGGCCUCUCUUCCCUUUGCCGUCCCGGCCCGGCACCCCGAGUAGCAGAUUCACUCGGAGGGGCUUUCCCGCGUCUACGCAGAACGCCGUCACCGUGACUGGCUCGUACUCUCAUCUGCAUGCCGUUCACAGGUGGCUUUGACGGCCAAAAGGCGGGUCGAGAAGGUCACACCUUUUUGGAAGGUCAGGUCCCAACGGGCAGAUGCUGGGGGCCGGGGGAAGUCUGUGGGCCUGAGUCCCACGCCGACUUGGGAAAGACGGCCGUGAGGCUGCAGGAUAGAGGAGAGCUUUUCUGACCACGUGGCCCACCCCGCCGUCUCAGGGCAGACGUGAGGGCCCCGGGGACAGAUGCCACCAGAUAAUCUGAGACUCCUCAAAGGGAAGAGUCUAGUCCUCCCUAGUAAUCACAGCCCAUCUCUUAGUAAUAAGUGUGGGAGAGUCAAGGGACAUUCUUGUCCGAUCGCCCCCAUCUUACAAACGGGACCGCUGGGGUCUGAAAAGGUGAAUAAUGAAUUCGGGUUUCCUCAUUUUCAGGACUCUGUCCCUCAGAAGGAUGAGCAUUUUGAAUCCCUUUCUUCGAGUGCUGUCUUGCAAACUUAUGUGGAUUUUGGGGCUCAUCUACAAGGCUGCAGGCCUCCCAGCAUCCGGAGAGAAUUUAGACCAACCUCUUUCUUGGGGCAUCGAAGGAGAGCACGGCCCUGGGCUUCUUGGAGCAGUUCCAGCUGGAGGUAUUCACCCGUGUGACCUAGGACGUGCUGCUGAGCGGGGACCCCCGUCAGCGAGCUCGCCUGCUAGGAGGCCACCUUGUCAGCAGGUGGGGAAAGUGCCCGUCCUGGCCUUACAGCCGUGCUCAGGCUUCGCCGAUGGGGCUCAGGCUGGAGGGACCGAGCAUCAAACAGGGGAAACCAGCAAGGACGCGGAGCCAGCGGAGGCUUCCUCCACGUUCACUUUAAGCCCGGACUCAACCAGAGCCCCCUGCACUCGUCUUUCCCCGCCACACGGAAAAAGCCACCUGGAGGGGGACAGAACGGAGCCGGCGUGAAAAGAGAGGCCAAGGUGAGUCGUGGCAAACUGGUCAGGACUGACCUGUGUUACGCUCUGGUUUCCAGCCAGACCUAAGGUGGAGCCGCAUCUGGACUUUUCAGACGCGCAACUCACGAAACAAAGCAAAGCAAAACAAAACAAAACUCCUCGUAUGUUUCUUGAGUUGAGCUUUAUCUCUGACAAUCAAAAGUCCUCGGCAGCGUGCAAGACGUGAGCCGUGUCUGUUCUACGAAGCGCCACUUUUGUUUCAAAAAUCAAGGCUCCCUAUUAGAAGGCAACGUAUUCUUAGGCUUUCUCUCCUUUGAGCCGUUGGUAUAGCAUGUUGAUAGGUUUCCAAAUAUCGAACCACGUUUUUAUUCCAAUGAUGGGGCCCACUUGGUCACGAAGAAAACAUUUUUGCUGCCUUGUAGAAAAGAUUUUGGGCCAGCAUUUGUAAGUGCAGGCUCAACGGGGAGGGGUCCGAAACCGCUGGGUUGUGAGACAUGUCCAGGCAGCUGACGAAGUUUGCUUGGCCUGUCGGUGUUUCAGAACUGGGAGGUCAAACAUACAAUUCAGCUCUCCUUUUUUUUUUUUUUUUAAAUUUUUUUUUUAACGUUUUAUUUAUUUUUGAGACAGAGAGAGACAGAGCAUGAACGGGGCAGGGGCAGAGAGAGAGGGAGACACAGAAUCAGAAACAGGCUCCAGGCUCUGAGCCGUCAGCCCAGAGCCCGACGUGGGGCUUAAACUCACGGACGCGAGAUCGUGACCUGAGCUGAAGUCGGACGCUUUAACCGACUGAGCCACCCAGGCGCCCCUCCUUUUUUUUUUUUUUUGAAAAAAAGUUUAUUCAUUUAUUUUCAAGGAAGGGGAGGGACCGAGAGAGAGGGAGAAAGGGAGGGAGACAAGGAGAGAGAGAGGGAGAGAGAAGAGGGAGGGAGAGAGAGGAGAGAGAGAAGAAGAAAGAGAAUACCAAGCAGGCCCUGCACUGUCAGCGUAGAGUCCGAUGUGGGGGCUCAAACCCACGAACCGUGAGAUCAAGACCCGAGCCAAGGUCAAGAUCGGACGCUGAACCUACUGAGGCCCCAGGCGCCCUCCCUUGAGCUUUUCUUGAAAAGUCUGUCAUUUCAGUGGGGCUGAGUGUCCGCGUGGCAGAUGGUCUGGGGUGGAUGGCAGUCACCUCUGCACCGGCUGCGCCCGAGGCCCCCCUUGGGACCGGCACCCACAAAUGUUCACUCCCGUUGUCUUGGUUGGUCAGUGUCACACAUUUUAGUCACUGUCCGGCCUGUGAGGUCAUUCGAGGCUGUGAUGCCUCCAAUUGUCCCUUCUGGUGCCUUGUGUUCAGGUGACCGCGGCUCCGGCACGGAAUGGCGCUCUCUCUGGAAGGCUGGAGGAGUUACCUGUGAAAGUCCCGGGCCUUGGUGCUUGUUUGCGGUGGCUCUUCCAUUUUUUCCCCAAACUUGCUUCCCUUACCCGCUCAUCUGAGCCUGUUGGCCUCCCGUCCCAGCUGCAGUCUGAGAAAGAAUGGCUCCAGCGUCCCCCGGCCUUCCUGUGGCCUGAGGACACUGCGUGGGGAGAGGACACAUCAGAGAGCGCGUGGGCGCCUUGCCUUUGAUCUGAAAUAGUUUCCCGGACUGCUGCAGGGCUCACUUCCCAAGCAGGGGUGUGCAUCUGUUUUCUGGGCGGUAGAGACCCAUCUCUGACCUCCAGCCCCUCCCCCAAUUCAGUGCAGGGCCCUGGACGCUGAUCUGACGGCCCUCCGACGUCCUCUCCUUUCCACUGGAUGCCCAGCCAGCGAGGGCUUUUUCUAUGCACUUGCCCCGGCUGUGCCGUGACCCACUGGGGUCAACGUCACUCCAGAGUCUCAGGCUUCUUCCCACCUCACUCGGCUUCCUCUCUCUCUCUCACCGGCCUGGAGGGCGGAGGAGCGGAGCCGGGAUUCCCGUCACCCCGCUCUGGCGUCUUCCAUCAUUGUAAUUUGUCGUCACUUUUGGAAGUUUGUGGAGGCAGGCGGGAAAGCAAUAAAUGAUCAUAAAUGCUUUUCA